rnacentral:rRNA from 1 species
UAUGCUUAACACAUGCAAGUCGAACGGCAGCACGAGAGAGCUUGCUCUCUUGCUGACGAGUGGCGGACGGGUGAGUAACGCGUAAGAAUCUGCCUAGUAGUGGGGGAUAACUCGGGGAAACUCGAGCUAAUACCGCAUACGCCCUACGGGGGAAAGUGGGGGACCUUCGGGCCUCACGCUAGUAGAUGAGCUUGCGUUGGAUUAGCUAGUUGGUGAGGUAAUGGCUCACCAAGGCGACGAUCCAUAGCUGGUCUGAGAGGACGAUCAGCCACACUGGGACUGAGACACGGCCCAGACUCCUACGGGAGGCAGCAGUGGGGAAUAUUGGACAAUGGGCGCAAGCCUGAUCCAGCAAUACCGCGUGUGUGAAGAAGGCCUGCGGGUUGUAAAGCACUUUCAAUUGUGAAGAAAAGCUUGGGGUUAAUAGCCCCGAGUCUUGACGUUAACUUUAGAAGAAGCACCGGCUAACUCUGUGCCAGCAGCCGCGGUAAUACAGAGGGUGCGAGCGUUAAUCGGAAUUACUGGGCGUAAAGCGUGCGUAGGCGGUUUAGUAAGUCAGAUGUGAAAGCCCUGGGCUUAACCUGGGAACUGCAUUUGAAACUGCUGAACUAGAGUGUGGUAGAGGGAAGUGGAAUUCCGGGUGUAGCGGUGAAAUGCGUAGAUAUCCGGAGGAACACCAGUGGCGAAGGCGACUUCCUGGACCAACACUGACGCUGAGGUACGAAAGCGUGGGUAGCAAACAGGAUUAGAUACCCUGGUAGUCCACGCCGUAAACGAUGUCAACUAGUUGUUGGGAGCAUUCUGGCUUUUAGUAACGUAGCUAACGCGAUAAGUUGACUGCCUGGGGAGUACGGCCGCAAGGUUAAAACUCAAAGGAAUUGACGGGGGCCCGCACAGCGGUGGAGCAUGUGGUUUAAUUCGAUGCAACGCGAAGAACCUUACCAGCCCUUGGACAUCCUGCGAACUUUCUAGAGAUAAUUGGUGCCUUCGGGAACGC